GCACUCGUAGCUCAGUUGGAUAGAGCACUGGUUUCCGGAACCAGGGGUCGCAGGUUCGAAUCCUGCCGGGUGCA